AAGUGUUGAGAUUACAGGCGUGAGCCACUGUGCCUGGCCAGCAGCAGCAUUCUUAAGCUAUAUUUUCUUCUGUGCACUUCAGGAGUAUGCUCCAAAUAGUCUCCCAAUAGCUCUGCUCUUGCAUUCAUCACAGCUAAACUACCCACUCUUUCUGAAUGUGAAUUUGUCCAGUUGGAGAGAGGCUUACAGGGAGUUUGCAAGGUAGAAGGCAGCCCAUUACAAUGAUUCCCAAAGAAAUGGGUUUUGGAGUCAAUACAAGCGGUUGAACCAGAAAGCUUGCCAUUUAUUGUCUCUGUGACCUUCAGUCUCCUCAUUCACGAAAAGGAAAAGUAACAGCACCUAUGUCAAAAGGGGCUGGGAUGCUUAAAUGAAAUGUUAUACGUAAAAUACAUAGCACAGUCCCUAGCAUACAAUACAUGCUUCAUAACCGUUAGCUGAUAUUAUUACAUCUAAUUUGUCUAUUUUAAAGUACAUGAAAAUGUUCUGCAAAUAAUGUAAGAAUUAUAAUUAUGUAGAUGUUGGAGUAAAAAGUAUAGGUAAAAAGAGGUAUUUACUUUAAGAUUGUACUCUCUGGUGACUGCGUUGGUAACAGUCCUAUUGGAAUCAGUCUCAGUAAUAAUUAACCUUAAAGCUCAACAGUGCCCAGCGUUCAGGAACCGAUGCUUAGUCUACUGUAUAAACAUUCACUGUGGGUCUAAAAAUCUCCACCUUUAAGUCAACUCAGGUCUCUUCAACAUACUUUAAAGGACUUUAAUAAAAGUUAAAUAUUUAACACUACUUUGUUGAAUCAGUGAAUUCAUGGAUGUGUGUUACAGUACAUACAUUUGAAAUGUCUCAUAAGCAAAUUCAAUGUGAAAAAUUAAAGAACUAUUUAUAACUCUCUUCAGCUUUUACUACCAACAAACCUUUUCUUUGUUCAAAUUAUGACUACAUUUUAAAAAGUGGUAGACAUUAAAAUUUAUUAAGUCUAAAGGCUUUACAAAACGAGAAAACACAGAGGUUUCUACUUACUAGGGGAAACUGCUUUGGUUAAUCAUUAGCGAUGUUCAAUUAUUUACUUUAGUUAGAGUCACUGAUAAGUCUGCUUGCCAUUAAUGAAAACUGCACUUCUAACAGGAAUGCACAUCACCAAAUUUUAUGGUCUGUAAAAAGGAAAAUACCACAAGGAGAAACAGAAUCUACUAAUAAAGUGGUAAGGUCAGGUUGAAAACCAUGCCAGUUUGUUAAUCCCCCAGAAUUCACACCCAGAUCAGAAUUCUGAUUCAAAAUUGAACUAAAUUUAGCUGAAGAAAAUAGAAUCAAAUGGCAUUCAAGAGAUUUACUGAAUACCUGCUCUGUACUAGUUAUUAGAUCACUUAUUAAUCAUAGUUGAAUUAUAAAAUGUGGGUCACUGAAAUCGAAGUAUCCUGGAUUAAAGAGUUAAAUGCAAAGGGAGUGCUCCAGGUGGCGACGGGGCCGAGUUCACCAGCGGCCGGGGCAGUAGUCAAAGGCCCAGCACGUCCUGGGUGCCGUGGUGCGGGCAGUGAACGCGCGCCGGGCCGGAUGGGCCCACGCCGGGCACCAGAACCGUACCGGACUCCAUUCCCGUUGUUAGGGCUUCAGGUCGACCCCAGCACUGGGCUGCUCAUCGCUGCAGGCGGAAGAGGCGCCGCCAAGGCAGGCAUAAAGAAUGGCGUGCACCUUCUGCAGCUAGAGCGGAUUAAUGGGCGCUUGAGUGCCUCCUUGCUGCACUCCCAUGACACAGAGACACGGGUCACCAUGAACUUGGCACUGGCUGGUGACAUCCUUGCUGCAGGGCAGGAUGCCCACUGUCAGCUCCUGCGCUUCCAGGCCCAUCAACAGAAGGUCAACAAGGCAGAGAAGGCAGGUUCCAAGAAGCAGGGGCCUCGACAAAGGAAGGGAGCAGCCCCAGCAGAGAAGAAAUGUGGCGCGGAAACCCAGCACGAGGGGCUAGAACUCAGGGUAGAGAAUUUGCAGGCAGUGCAGACAGACUUCAGCUCUGAUCCACUGCAGAAAGUUGUGUGCUUCAACCACGAUAAUACCCUGCUUGCCACUGGAGGGACAGAUGGCUACGUUCGUGUCUGGAAGGUACCAGGGCUGGAGAAGGUUCUGGAGUUCAAAGCCCACGAAGGGGAGAUUGAAGACCUGGCUUUAGGGCCUGAUGUCAAGUUGGUAACCGUGGGACAGGACCUUAAGGCCUCUGUGUGGCAGAAGGAUCAGCUGGUGACACAGGUGCACUGGCAAGAGAAUGGACCCACUAUUUCCAGCACACCUUACCAUUAUCAGGCCUGCAGGUUUGGGCAGGCUCCAGACCAGCCUGCUGGGCUGUGACUCUUCACAGUGCAAAUUCCCCACAAGCGCCUGCGCCAGCCCGCUCCCUGCUACCUCACAGCCUGGCAUGGCUCCAACUUCUUGCCCCUUCGCACCAAGUCCUGUGGCCAUGAAGUCAUCUCCUGCCUCAAUGUCAGUGAGUCUGGCACCUUCCUAGGCCUGGGCAUGGUCACUGGCUCUGUUGCCAUCUACAUAGCUUUCUCUCUCCAGUGCCUGUACUACGUGAGGGAGGCCCAUGGCAUUGUGGUGACAGAUGUGGCCUUUCUACCUGAGAAGGGUCGUGGUCCAGAGCUCCUUGGGUCCCAUGAAACUGCCCGGUUCUCUGUGGCUGUGGACAGUCAUUGCCAGCUGCAUCUGCUGCCUUCAUUGCAGAGUGUUCCUGUGAGGCUCCUGCUCCUGCUGUGUGUCGGGCUUAUCGUUGUGACCACCCUGCUGCUCCAGAGUGUCUUUCCAGGUUUUCUUUAGCUUCCCUGCUUCCUGGGAAUCAGGAGCCUGGACACUGCCAUCUCUAGAGCAGAGUGGAGGCCUGGACUCCCUUUGCUCACUCCAUUCAGGUCCACAGCUGAGGUUACCUCUGAUAAGAUGAAUGGGCACUACCUGCCCUUCUAGUGAAAAGGCUUGGUCGUGGCCCUGCGUGACUCUGGGUGCCAGGAACCCUGCCUUCAUCAUCUGUGGAUCCAUCCAGAACAGCGGUGUCUGAAGCCCAGGCCAUACUCCCUGCCUCCUGCCUUCUGCCUACUAGAGGCUUGAGAGUUGAGUUUAUCCUUUCUCUAGAAACAUGUGAAGAUGCCCAAGAGCCUGGAGGCACUGCUGUCCUUCCUGCAGAAACAGUUUCUCCUCCUCCCCUCACAGCCUUGUGGCCAGUUCCUCUUCACAUGAAGCCCCUGGCAUUUGCUAGGGGAAGGGACUGGCCUGGUACUUGCUGUUAGGGCAGGAAGGAGCAAAAGGAAGACUUGGGUAGUAAUCUGGGGAUUCAGAUGGGUAGCACUAAGCCAGCCGGCCUAAAGAUGUAAUAAGUUCCUAGAUAGUCUACCCUAAUCUCGAGGAAAGGAAAAAUGAACCUCAGCCCACUAGGCAGGAAAAGUUGAUAUUUAACAAACAAGGAAAGAGUGAACUGAGACCCC